rnacentral:misc_RNA from 1 species
GUAGUCCAGCAAUUUGCCACAAGAAGUCGCUACGAGCAAUACCAGAAAAUCAGUCGAAAUCUAAAUAAUCGGGGUUGGGCGUGUUACUUUUGCAAAUCCGUGAAUUGUUAAGUGUUUUUAUUAGAUAUGUAACUUAACUAAUUACGAAUUAAGAUCAGCACAAAAGAAAAAGAUAGAACAACCAUGGCCUUAUCUCUUAGAAUUAAUAUUAUCGACGAAAACGUUACCAAAACUAUCGUUUUCGAUCCAGCGACGACUGUCCAUGAUGCCUGCCGAAUCAUUCGAGAUAAAUGUACAGAGGGUGAACAAUCUAAAGACUACGGACUCUUCCUCACUGAUGAAGAUAAUAAAACGGGGGUGUGGUUAGAGCCUGCACGGAAUUUAGAGUACUAUAUUUUAAGAAAUGGAGACCUUAUUGAGUAUAGAAAAAAACUGCGACCUCUUAGAGUUAAAAUGUUGGACGGUGCGGUAAAAACAAUGAUGGUGGACGAUUCACAAAUAAUAGCAAACCUUAUGGUCGUCAUUUGCACAAAACUGGGGAUAACGAACCACGACGAGUACUCCCUCGUUUUAGAAGACUUGGAAAAUCAAGAAAACAUCGACAACCGCAACUACGGUACCCUCACUUUAAAACGAAAGAAAGAGGAAAGAGAAAGAGACGCAAAAAUGGAACAAUUGCGUAAGAAGCUACACACUGACGAUGAGGUCAAUUGGCUCGAUCCCUCUAAAACAUUACGUGAACAGGGAAUCGAUGAAAUGCAAACGGUGUUGCUCAGGAGGAAGUUCUUCUAUUCAGAUCAGAAUAUCGACUCGAGAGAUCCUGUGCAAUUAAAUCUGCUGUAUGUACAAGCCAGAGAUGCGAUCUUGCAAGGAACUCAUCCGAUUACACAAGACAAGGCUUGCGAAUUUGCCGGGCUUCAAUGCCAAAUACAAUUUGGGGAUCAUGUAGAAUUAAAACAUAAACCUGGAUUUUUAGAUCUUAAAGAAUUUCUUCCACAAUCCUACACGAAAAUAAAAGGUAUAGAAAAGAAGAUCUUCUCCGAACACAGAAAACAACAAGGUCUUAGCGAACUAGACGCCAAAGUCAAAUACACCAAAAACGCUCGCUCUCUUCGUACCUACGGAGUAACAUUCUUCCUGGUUAAAGAAAAGAUGAAAGGAAAGAACAAGUUAGUUCCCCGUUUACUCGGUGUGACCAAAGAUUCUGUUUUGCGUCUGAACGAGCAGACGAAAGAAAUUCUGCAGACCUGGCCAUUGACGCAGGUGAGGAGAUGGGGAGCUAGUCCAAACACUUUCACCCUCGAUUUCGGUGACUACUCCGAUCAGUAUUAUUCAGUACAAACGACGGAAGCAGAGCAGAUCCAGCAGAUUAUAGCUGGGUACAUUGAUAUCAUCUUGAAGAAACAACAAGCUAAGGAUCAUUUUGGUAUCGAAGGAGACGAGGGAUCUACUAUGUUCGAAGAGAAUGUUGCUAAACAGAAAGCAACCAUUUUGCAACACGAAUCUAGUAAGAUGGGCAGAACCAGCAUUGAAUCUUUGGCCAAACCAGCAGUAAUGAGAGCCGCUGAUGGGUCCAGAGUAGGUACAGAUAGACGAUUUUAUCCUGUAUAUAUGGUAGCACGUUAAUCCUGUAAAUAGCAUUAUCACAUUCACAUAAAAGUUUUCAUGCAUGCUCUUUUUCAGACUACCAACAUGCAACAAACCAAAAUAACGAUGAUAAUAUCAGAACCACAACGUGCUCUAUUAUCAACAAUUUCCGCAACGCAAUCCAGAAUCAAAGAAUCAGAAAUCGAGCUUGAAGCCAGAGCACACGUUCCAGAAUUGGGUACAGAUCCAGCUGCAAAGAAAUGGAAGCAAGUUACUUUGGAUACC